rnacentral:rRNA from 1 species
AACGAACGCUGGCGGCAUGCCUAACACAUGCAAGUCGAACGAGACCUUCGGGUCUAGUGGCGCACGGGUGCGUAACGCGUGGGAACCUGCCCUUAGGUUCGGAAUAACUCCCCGAAAGGGGUGCUAAUACCGGAUAAUGUCUUCGGACCAAAGAUUUAUCGCCUUUGGAUGGGCCCGCGUUGGAUUAGCUAGUUGGUAGGGUAAAAGCCUACCAAGGCGACGAUCCAUAGCUGGUCUGAGAGGAUGAUCAGCCACACUGGGACUGAGACACGGCCCAGACUCCUACGGGAGGGAGCAGUGCGGAAUAUUGGACAAUGGGCGAAAGCCAGAUCCAGCAAUGCCGCGUGAGUGAUGAAGGCCUUAGGGUUGUAAAGCUCUUUUACCCGGGAUGAUAAUGACAGUACCGGGAGAAUAAGCUCCGGCUAACUCCGUG